AUUGAACGCUAACGGCGUGCUUAACACAUGCAAGUCGAGCGGCAGCAUGACUGUAGCAAUACAGUUGAUGGCGAGCGGCGGACGGGUGAGUAAUGCAUAGGAAUCUGCCUUGUAGUGGGGGAUAACCCGGGGAAACUCGGGCUAAUACCGCAUAAUCUCUACGGAGCAAAGUGGGGGAUCGUAAGACCUCACGCUAAAAGAUGAGCCUAUGUUGGAUUAGCUAGUUGGUGAGGUAAUGGCUCACCAAGGCGACGAUCCAUAGCUGGUCUGAGAGGAUGAUCAGCCACCCUGGGACUGAGACACGGCCCAGACUCCUACGGGAGGCAGCAGUGGGGAAUAUUGGACAAUGGGCGAAAGCCUGAUCCAGCAACGCCGUGUGUGUGAAGAAGGCCUUCGGGUUGUAAAGCACUUUUAGUUGGGAAGAAAAGCUCAUGGGUAAUAUCCAUGAGUGCUGACGUUACCAACAGAAAAAGCACUGGCUAACUCUGUGCCAGCCGCCGCGGUAACUC
rnacentral:rRNA from 1 species